rnacentral:lncRNA from 1 species
UAAGGUUUUGAAAAUUGAACGUAACGGACAGAGGUCAGCCAGAUGCUAUCCUCAUGACCAUUCUUUCCUCCUUUGUUCUCUUCAGCUGAUCUGUACUGUGGUGGGAAUUACACAGACACGGAGGGUGAGCUCCUCCUUCCUCCCUUGACUGGACCUUUCAGUCACAGCAGACAGUGUGUCUAUCUCAUCUCACAACCCCAAGGAGAGCAAAUAGUUAUCAACUUCACCCACGUGGAGCUGGAGAGCCAGAGGGGCUGUUCUCACACUUUCAUCGAGGUUGGAGACCAUGAGAGCCUGCUUCGAAAGAUCUGUGGCAAUGAAACCUUGUUCCCCAUUAGAUCAAUUUCUAAUAAUGUCUGGAUCAGACUGAGAAUAGACGCUUUAGUCCAGAAGGCUAGUUUCAGAGCUGACUAUCAAGUUGCUUGUGGGGGUGAAUUAAGAGGAGAAGGAGUCAUUCGUUCACCUUUCUAUCCUAAUGCAUAUGCUGGACGAAGAACCUGUAGGUGGACCAUCUCCCAACCCCCAAGAGAAGUUGUUCUUCUUAACUUCACCGACUUUCAGAUUGGAAGUUCUUCUUCCUGUGAUACAGAUUACAUUGAGAUUGGUCCCAGCUCUGUCUUGGGAUCUCCUGGAAAUGAGAAGUUUUGUGGCACAAACAUACCAUCA